rnacentral:rRNA from 1 species
AGGGUUUGAUCAUGGCUCAGGAUGAACGCUAGCGGCAGGCCUAAUACAUGCAAGUCGGACGGGAUCCAUCGGCGAGCUUGCUCAAAGAUGGUGAGAGUGGCGCACGGGUGCGUAACGCGUGAGCAACCUACCUCUAUCAGGGGGAUAGCCUCUCGAAAGAGAGAUUAACACCGCAUAACAUCAACAGUUCGCAUGUUCGGUUGAUUAAAUAUUUAUAGGAUAGAGAUGGGCUCGCGUGACAUUAGCUAGUUGGUAGGGUAACGGCUUACCAAGGCGACGAUGUCUAGGGGCUCUGAGAGGAGAAUCCCCCACACUGGUACUGAGACACGGACCAGACUCCUACGGGAGGCAGCAGUAAGGAAUAUUGGUCAAUGGGCGGAAGCCUGAACCAGCCAUGCCGCGUGCAGGAUGACUGCCCUAUGGGUUGUAAACUGCUUUUGUCCAGGAAUAAACCUAAAUACGAGUAUUUAGCUGAAUGUACUGGAAGAAUAAGGAUCGGCUAACUCCGUGCCAGCCGCCGCGGUAAUAC